rnacentral:lncRNA from 1 species
GCGGCGGCACGUAGGACGGAUCUCUUGGAUUUACCUGUAACGAGGAGCGGCGCACCCCAGGAGCCCCGGCAGCACCCCAGGAGCCCCGGCAGCACCCCAGGAGCCCCGGCAGCACCCCAGGAGCCCCGGCAGCACCCCAGGAGCCCCGGCAGCACCCCAGGAGCCCCGGCAGCACCCCAGGAGCCCCG